AACGAACGCUGGCGGCGUGCCUAACACAUGCAAGUCGAACGAGAAAGUCGUAGCAAUACGAUGAGUAAAGUGGCGCACGGGUCAUUAACACGUGGAUAAUCUACCUUCGGGUGGGGCACAACCUGUCGAAAGACGUGCUGAUUCCCCAUAAGACCACGGGAUCCUCGGGUCCUGUGAGAAAAGGUGGCCUCUAUUUAUAAGCUAUCGCCUGAAGAUGAGUCCGCGCACCAUUAGCUAGUUGGUAGGGUAACGGCCUACCAAGGCCAAAAUGGUUAGCUGGUCUGAGAGGACGACCAGCGACACUGGAACUGAGACACGGUCCAGACUCCUACGGGAGGCAGCAGUGGGGAAUCUUGGACAAUGGGCGAAAGCCUGAUCCAGCGACGCCGCGUGAGUGAUGAAGGCCUUCGGGUUGUAAAGCUCUGUCGGGGGGAACGAAACAGGGUGACCUAACACGUCAUCCGAUGACGGUACUCCCAAAGGAAGCACCGGCUAACUCUGUGCCAGCCGCCGCCGUAAUAC
rnacentral:rRNA from 1 species